UUAGAGUUUGAUCCUGGCUCAGGACGAACGGUGGCGGCGUGCUUAACACAUGCAAGUCGAACGAUGAAGCCCUUCGGGGUGGAUUAGUGGCGAACGGGUGAGUAACACGUGGGCAAUCUGCCCUUCACUCUGGGACAAGCCCUGGAAACGGGGUCUAAUACCGGAUAACACUCUGUCCCGCAUGGGACGGGGUUAAAAGCUCCGGCGGUGAAGGAUGAGCCCGCGGCCUAUCAGCUUGUUGGUGGGGUGAUGGCCUACCAAGGCGACGACGGGUAGCCGGCCUGAGAGGGCGACCGGCCACACUGGGACUGAGACACGGCCCAGACUCCUACGGGAGGCAGCAGUGGGGAAUAUUGCAUCAAUGGGCGAAAGCCUGAUGCAGCGACGCCGCGUGAGGGAUGACCGGCCUUACGGGUUGUAAACCUCUUUCACGCAGGGAAGAAGCGAAAGGACGU
rnacentral:rRNA from 1 species